GGCACGCGAUCCUGCCUCGCUUGGGUGACUUUGGGCCGUCUUUUUCAGCCCUACGUUUCCUUUUCAUCGGAUCGAAAUGUCGCACUGCUACAGGAGGCACUACAUGGCUUUUUGCUUGACUGCUCCGGUAAUGAGAUCUCCCCAAAAUUUCCAAUGUCAACGCUGGUGAACGGGCAGAACGCAAUAUUUAAAGUGAUUUAAUGUCAGAAAUGAAGAAAUAAUCAUCUGAAAAGGUGAUCGUGACAUAGCAAUUGUCCGCUACACCAUCCGAAAUCUGGGAUCUGCUGUGAAAGAAAGUGGCUGCGAGGUUCGCAGCUGGCACAAAAUUGUCUCCAUUUAGUCUGUCACUUCUCACUGUGAGAUGACAUGCGAAGUACCCAAUGC
rnacentral:lncRNA from 1 species